GCUCCAGUAGCUCAAUGGUAGGGCGCCAGACUUGUUAGUACCCCCACUAUUCAGACACACCUUAGUUUCACUUACUAACCAUAAUCCAGCUAAUCUGGAGAUUGCGGGUUCGAGUCCCGUCUGGAGUA
rfam:Aspergillus wentii DTO 134E9 unplaced genomic scaffold ASPWEscaffold_2, whole genome shotgun sequence.